rnacentral:rRNA from 1 species
AGGGUGUAAACGAUGCGGGCUUGGUGUUGGGGGUCCUUAGUGGGCGCCCAGUGCCGAAGAGAAGUUGUUAAGCCUGCUGCUUGGGGAGUACGUUCGCAAGGAUGAAACUUAAAGGAAUUGGCGGGGGAGCACCACAACGGGUGGAGCGUGCGGUUUAAUUGGAUUCAACGCCGGACAACUCACCAGGAGCGACAGACUGCAUGAAGGCCAGGCUGAAGACUCUGCUUGACUAGCUG